UACGGGGGGGGCAAGCGUUGUUCGGAAUUACUGGGCGUAAAGGGCUCGUAGGCGGCCAACUAAGUCAGACGUGAAAUCCCUCGGCUUAACCGGGGAACUGCGUCUGAUACUGGAUGGCUUGAAUCCGGGAGAGGGAUGCAGAAUUCCAGGUGUAGCGGUGAAAUGCGUAGAUAUCUGGAGGAAUACCGGUGGCGAAGGCGGCAUCCUGGACCGGCAUUGACGCUGAGGAGCGAAAGCCAGGGGAGCAAACGGG
rnacentral:rRNA from 1 species